rnacentral:rRNA from 1 species
AGUGAACGCUGGCGGUAGGCCUAACACAUGCAAGUCGAACGGCAGCACAGUAAGAGCUUGCUCUUACGGGUGGCGAGUGGCGGACGGGUGAGGAAUACAUCGGAAUCUACUUUUUCGUGGGGGAUAACGUAGGGAAACUUACGCUAAUACCGCAUACGACCUACGGGUGAAAGCAGGGGAUCUUCGGACCUUGCGCGAUUGAAUGAGCCGAUGUCGGAUUAGCUAGUUGGCGGGGUAAAGGCCCACCAAGGCGACGAUCCGUAGCUGGUCUGAGAGGAUGAUCAGCCACACUGGAACUGAGACACGGUCCAGACUCCUACGGGAGGCAGCAGUGGGGAAUAUUGGACAAUGGGCGCAAGCCUGAUCCAGCCAUACCGCGUGGGUGAAGAAGGCCUUCGGGUUGUAAAGCCCUUCUGUUGGGAAAGAAAAGCAGCAGGCUAAUACCCCGCUGUUCUGACGGUACCCAAAGAAUAAGCACCGGCUAACUUCGUG